AGUCCUCACUUAGUUUGUCUGUUCUUGGCUACUGUAGAAACAUGGUGAUUCAAAAUGGCCGACUCUCUGAAAGACUGAUGCCUGAUGUGAAUUCAAAGGUCUCAUUUUAAGCCAGGUCCCGGAGGAUCGAUCCCGGCCCGACUCUCAGACCUGACACUCUCUUACAUAAGCCCUCUGCGCUCUGUUGUCUCUCCACCAGAGCAGGUCGCAUGGAUUAUUGAUGCCAGCGCAGAGUGAGCGAGGCAGCACAUGGCAAGGACAUAGCACUCAGGUCACUCCUCUGAAUACUUCACAUGUCAUCCUCUCUGCUGAGAACAUGUUCCACAGCAGCGAGGAAGAGGGUGAUGCAGAUCAGGAGGAAGAGGGGAAGGAGGUGCAGGAAGGGCGGAGUGCGGUGUAGCUUGGGAGACACAGGUGUGUAAUUGGCACAAGUGGGAAAAGAAGAAUCAAUAUGGUUGUGGAUUGUUUUUUUGUGCAAGUGACACCAAACCCAUUUAAAGAAAAAACUAAAAUCACAGUUUCUCUCCCCCUGAAUCCAUAAAGUAUUAAGUCUCUGUAUUUUUUUCCAAGUUUCAUUCCACCAUUUGGAAAUAUAAAGACUAUUUUAAAUGUGGUUUCCAAGGGGGAUUGUAGGGCUUUGUUGAAGGUACAUGAUCUACGCCAUUCAAAUUUGUACGCGUGAAAUGAUUGUCCCAUCAAUAGAUUUGAACUAUUGGUGUAGAUGAAGGUGUCACUUUUGACUCUAUAGUAGAGAUAAUAGAUUUUUCCUUAUAUUCAGAAUUUCAAUUUAUUGAUAAAUCUUUGAAAAAUGAAUCCAUUGAGGGGGAAAUAAUACACACACACAUAUAUAUAUUUCCUCCUUUUCCCUGCACUUUGCCUCUCCUCACAAUCAUAUCUUUGUCCCUCUUUGUCAAGGGAUGCCUCGGUUCGCUACUUAGCAACUGUUUCCACGGAUACAAAGUUGCUCCCCGUCUCACUCGUACCCCUCCUCCGCAAUAAGUCGCCAGUGCCCUUCUGCUCCUUUAUGUCCACUUCCUAAAGCCCGGGGAUGCUGCGAGCCUUUUAGUUAUCUUUUUUAUAAGCCAUCAGAAAAAAACAAUCCGUCUCUUUCAUUUGUCUCAGGACGUUAUCCGGCUCAAUAUUACAUUAUUCCUCUGGGUGAAGAAAUGGUUGUUAUCUCGGUGCUUGUACCGAUCUGAGGAGGGUCGGAGAAAGUUAAUUGAUGAAUGUGACAACAUCUUGCCAAUCACACUCAGCCGCUUCUACUUUUCAAGUGUCACCUUGCACAGGGACCAUACACCUCAGCUCCAAUGUCACUGUGACAAACUGCUCUUCAUUGUCUGCACUUGCCCAGGAAACCGUUCGUACACACCCCCAGGAGGAGAGCAGAUGAAUGUUUGGCAGUGUGAUUUAGAAAAACACGUCCACAGAGGCACAUUGCGAUAAGAAAAUAAUAUACUGUAAAGGCCGCAGGGUAUAUUCAGACAUGAACGCAAGCAUCGGAGCUACAGGAAGAUCUAUUUAUAUCACUACUAAAAAUAGACUUUCUUCUCCAUAGAAACAUGAAAUCCUUGUGAGCGGCGAAUUACUCUCAAGCUGCUGUGUGCAUGUGCGCAUGUGUGUGUGUGUGCACGAGC